rnacentral:rRNA from 1 species
AUCGAACGUGGAGAUAGCUGGUUCUCCCCGAAAUAGCUUUAGGGCUAGCCUCAGGCGCGCCUAUGGGCGGUAGAGCACUGAUCGGGCAAGGGGGCGUGAAGCCUGCCGAACCCAGUCAAACUGCGAAUGGCCAUAGGCAAGGCCUGGGAGUCAGAACGCGAGUGAUAAGACCCGCGCUCGAGAGGGAAACAGCCCAGACCGCCGACCAAGGUCCCCAAUGCUGUACUAAGUGGGAAAGGAUGUAGGACUUCAAAGACAACCAGGACGUUGGCUCAGAAGCAGCCACCAUUCAAAGAGUGCGUAACAGCUCACUGGUCGAGAGGCCCUGCGCCGAAGAUAUCCGGGGCUCAAGUACAGAACCGAAGUCGCGGCAUGCGCCACCGGCGCAUGGGUAGGGGAGCGUACGAUGCAGGACGAAGGCCGACCGGAAGGACGGCUGGACCGCAUCGCAGCGAGAAUGCCGGUAUGAGUAGCGAAACGGCGCGUGAGAAUCGCGCCCACCGAAAGCCGAAGGGCUCCUGGGCAACGCUCGUCGACCCAGGGCAAGUCGGGACCUAAGCCGAGGCAGCAAGCAUAGGCGAUGGACAGCAGGCGAAGAUUCCUGCACCGCAUGGCGCCGCUUGAGGAUGGAGUGACACAGCAAGGAGCUUGGGCGCGCGAUUGGAAAUGCGCGUCGAAGGCGGUAGGCCGCACGGGAGGCAAAUCCCCCGCGCGAAAGGCCGAGAGCCGACAGGCAGGCGCGCCCUUCGGGGCAAGCCGGAUCCAAGCGCACUACACUGUCGAGAAAAGCUUCUAACGAGGCGGCAUGCGCCCGUACCAAGACCGACACAGGCAGGCGGGGAGAGAAUCCUAAGGUGCGCGGGAAAACCCUCGUUAAGGAACUCGGCAAAAUGCAUCCGUAACUUCGGGAGAAGGAUGGCCGGAGCUGGUGAAGCCUGUACAGGCAGAGCUGGAGCCGGCGGCAGAAGAGAAGCCCAAGCGACUGUUUACCACAAACACAGGUGCCUGCCAAAGAGAAAUCUGACGUAUAGGUGCUGACACCUGCCCGGUGCUGGAAGGUCAAGGGGAAGGGUCAGGCGAGAGCCGAAGCCCCGAGCUGAAGCCCCAGUAAACGGCGGCCGUAACUAUAACGGUCCUAAGGUAGCGAAAUUCCUUGUCGGGCAAGUUCCGACCCGCACGAAAGGUGUAACGAUUUGGGCGCUGUCUCAACGGGGGGCCCGGUGAAAUUGAAAUACCUGUGAAGAUGCAGGUUACCCGCGACUGGACAGAAAGACCCCAUGGAGCUUCACUGCAGCCUGGCAUUGGUCCUUGGCAUGUGACGUACAGGAUAGUUGGGAGACGGGGAACGCGGGCCGCAAGGCGCGCGGGAGUCAACGUUGGGAUACCAACCCUCACGUGCUAGGGACCUAACUCCGGGACCAACGGCACCGAGGACAGUGCCAGGCGGGCAGUUUGACUGGGGCGGUCGCCUCCGAAAGCGUAACGGAGGCGCCCAAAGGUUCCCUCAGCGCGGACAGGAACCGCGCGGAGAGCGCAAAGGCAGAAGGGAGCCUGACUGCGAGACAGACACGUCGGGCAGGUACGAAAGUAGGGCUUAGUGAUCCGGUGGAAUGAGAGUGGGAUUGCCAUCGCUCAACGGACAAAAGCUACCCUGGGGAUAACAGGCUAAUCUCUCCCAAGAGUCCAUAUCGACGGGGAGGUUUGGCACCUCGAUGUCGGCUCAUCACAUCCUGGGGCUGAAGCAGGUCCCAAGGGUUGGGCUGUUCGCCCAUUAAAGUGGUACGUGAGCUGGGUUCAGAACGUCGUGAGACAGUUCGGUCCAUAUCCAUCGCGGGCGCAAGAUACAUGAGGGAAGCUGCUCCCAGUACGAGAGGACCGGAGUGGACGGACCGCCGGUAUGCCAGUUGUCCCGCCAGGGGCACGGCUGGGCAGCCGCGUCCGGAAGGGAUAAGCGCUGAAAGCAUCUAAGCGCGAAGCCCGUCCCGAGAUGAAGUAUCUCACAGCAGAGGCUGGUAAGACUCCUUGUGGAACACGAGGUCGAUAGGGUAGGCGUGGAAGUCCCGCGAGGGAUGGAGCAGGCUACUACUAAUCAGUCGAGGGCUUGACUUG